rnacentral:lncRNA from 1 species
GGUGCACUCCGAAGCAGCCUGAGAAGGGCUCCUGCAAAGUAAGAGAGCAAUGAUGAAUGUCAGCAGGGGCUGAGGGAACACCCCAAAGGGAACAGGAAGUGCACGGCAUGUUGAAAGAACUGAGAAGGGGAACGCGCUGUCACCAUAGCAUGCUGCAUCAGGGCCAGCUCAACACGAAACUUCUUUUUGGCGUGAGAAGCUAUGUACUUCAUGAAGGAGAUGGUAUUUCCUGCUUUCCAUUGCAACCAAAAUUGGCCAAGUGACACACGGCAGUCAUGGGUACACAAGGAAAGCUGACAGAUGGGAGCUUCCAGGAACGCUUUGGAAAGGGAGGUGCUCUGCUGGUCUCUUGCUCUUAUACCAUGCAGAGACCGAAUCCUGAAAAAAUGCAAAAGUAAUUGCUGCAGAUGGAGCAGCUACCUUGAUCAUGAGACGAAGACAUACACUAAGCAUGAUGGGACAGGAAGAGAUGGAGACGGGCGAGGCCCUGGUAACCUGCUGUCGACAUCAUUCCAG